GGACCGCGAUAGCUCAGCUGGAAGAACAUCUGCCCAAGAUGCGGAGGGUCGCCGGUUCGAUCCCGGCGUCCG
rnacentral:tRNA from 1 species